UACGUAGGGUGCGAGCGUUAAUCGGAAUUACUGGGCGUAAAGCGUGCGCAGGCGGCUUUGCAAGACAGAUGUGAAAUCCCCGGGCUCAACCUGGGAACUGCAUUUGUGACUGCAAGGCUAGAGUACGGCAGAGGGGGAUGGAAUUCCGCGUGUAGCAGUGAAAUGCGUAGAUAUGCGAGGAACACCAAUGGCGAAGGCAAUCCCCUGGGCCUGUACUGACGCUCAUGCACGAAAGCGUGGGGAGCAAACAGG
rnacentral:rRNA from 1 species